GACGAACCGAGCGAACGUUGUUCGGAAUCACUGGGCUUAAAGGGCGCGUAGGCGGGCUGUCAAGUCUGGGGUGAAAUCCCACGGCUCAACCGUGGAACUGCCUUAGAUACUGACGGCCUCGAGAGAGAUAGGGGCGAGCGGAACUGUGAGUGGAGCGGUGAAAUGCGUUGAUAUUCACAGGAACUCCGGUGGCGAAGGCGGCUCGCUGGAUCUUUUCUGACGCUGAGGCGCGAAAGCUAGGGGAGCAAACGGG
rnacentral:rRNA from 1 species